AUUGAACGCUGGCGGCAGGCCCAACACAUGCAAGUCGAGCGGAUGAGUGGAGCUUGCUCCAUGAUUCAGCGGCGGACGGGUGAGUAAUGCCUAGGAAUCUGCCUGGUAGUGGGGGACAACGUUUCGAAAGGAACGCUAAUACCGCAUACGUCCUACGGGAGAAAGCAGGGGACCUUCGGGCCUUGCGCUAUCAGAUGAGCCUAGGUCGGAUUAGCUAGUUGGUGAGGUAAAGGCUCACCAAGGCGACGAUCCGUAACUGGUCUGAGAGGAUGAUCAGUCACACUGGAACGGAGACACGGUCCAGAGUCCUACGGGAGGCAGCAGUGGGGAAUAUUGGACAAUGGGCGAAAGCCUGAUCCAGCCAUGCCGCGUGUGUGAAGAAGGUCUUCGGAUUGUAAAGCACUUUAAGUUGGGAGGAAGGGCAGUAAGUUAAUACCUUGCUGUUUUGACGUUACCGACAGAAUAAGCACCGGCUAACUUCGUGCCAGCCGCCGCCGUAACAC
rnacentral:rRNA from 1 species